UACGUAGGGGGCAAGCGUUGUCCGGAUUUAUUGGGCGUAAAGAGCGUGUAGGCGGCCAGUUAGGUCUGUUGUGAAAACUCGAGGCUCAACCUCGAGACGCCGAUGGAAACCAUCUGGCUAGAGUCCGGAAGAGGAGAGUGGAAUUCCUGGUGUAGCGGUGAAAUGCGAAGAUAUCAGGAAGAACACCCGUGGCUAAGGCGGCUCUCUAGUACGGUACUGACGCUGAGACGCGAAAGCGUGGGGAGCGAACAGG
rnacentral:rRNA from 1 species